rnacentral:rRNA from 1 species
GGACCCGCACAAGCGGUGGAGCGUGUUCUUUAAUUCGAUGGUAAGCGAAGAACCUUACCAGGGUUUGACAUCCUACUAAUUUCUCCGAAAGGAGAAAGUGUCUUCGGACCGUAGUGACAGGUGAUGCAUGGCCGUCGUCAGCUCGUGUCGUGAGAUGUUUGGUUAAGUCCAUCAACGAGCGCAACCCUUGUAACUAGUUGGAUUUUUCUAGUUAGACUGCCCCGGUAACGGGGAGGAAGGAGGGGAUGAUGUCAGGUCAGUAUUUCCCUUACACCCUGGGCUAGAAACACGCUACAAUGGCCGGUACAAAGGGCAGCCAAGUCGCGAGACGGAGCAAAUCCCAUCAAAGCCGGUCUCAGUUCGGAUAGGAGGCUGAAACUCGCCUCCUUGAAGUCGGAAUCGCUAGUAACGGUAGGUCAGCACACUACCGUGAAUACGUUCCCGGGUCUU